AUAAAGCUGUAAAGGAAAUAAGAAAGGAAGGACAAAAACCUCAGCCCACAUUUUUAGACACGAGCUCCUGACUCGCACUGAAACACUGAGUGUCAGAAUAUGACAGCAAACCCACCACAAUUUGUUAUUGUGCUGUGUUUUCAGGCCCUGCAGGAGUUUUAAAAUGGAGAACAGGACCAGUGAGCUGGAACAGGACAUCUCUGAUGGUACAGAACAGACUGGAGGAGUGGGCCAGACAACCCAAUAUAAGAUUGCGAUAGCUUCCCACACAUGGAAGAGAACUGAAGCAUAAUGUUUGCCUGGAGAAAAGUCUACGGAUGUACAGAGGCCACGGUGGGCUGCCUCAAUCUUGAGCUCCACCCUAUAUUGCUCUGCUUGGCAGGCGGCCUGCUAUUUCACAGCUGUCUGGAUCAACAGAAUUUCCACAUCGCUACACCGACCGAGCCAGCAUCCAAUAAAAAGUCUGAGCACAUAAACAUGCUUUGUGGGAUUGAGAGCAGAACCGGAUAUGUAAACUGAGCAUCAACGUGAAUUGUGCAAUUUUUUACAGUUUCUCCAAUUAAUACAUUACUUUGACAUUAGGUUAUCAUGAAUGGUUUGAGUUUGGGUUGGGAAUGAUCUAUUAGUUAACCAAU